CUGCCCCCUCAGGGCUCCAGGCACAGGUGCCCCCCAGGCUAGGGGAGAGGAAGGGCUGGAGGCGCUGCCACAGCUCUGCUUCCCACCAACUGGACUGUCUGCCCAUCUUAACAUCCAGAGUUGUCUUCUCACCACCUAUGAGCUGGAAUGCCGCACCUUCCUUUUAAAAAUACUAAACUGAGCCGGAAACAAGGAAGCGACGUUAACACAGGGACCGCUCCCUGAACACCCCAUGGCUAAGCUGAGACAACAAACUGCAUCCUAUGCUCAGAUGUGGACUGAAGUGUCGAGGGAUGAAGUUGCAUUUCACAACGUCUGCAAUGUUCUUUCACUGGCUUUGAGGGGAGUCCACAAAUGCACGCAGAAAUGAAGCAGAUACAGCGAAACAUUAAUGUCCAUCAAUUCAGUGGUCUGUGUGGGUAACUCUUCUCUCAACUUUUCUGCCUUAUUCAAAUGCUCACAAUAAAAAAACUGGAAGACUCUG